GAAGGGUGGGGACUCUAAACGACUUCAGUGGGUAUCAGAGAACAAAGCCUGAUGCAUUUGAUCAAGAAUUAGUUAUGGAAAUGUUUGAGAGUGGUGUUUGUUCUGUGGAGUCAAGAUUCCCCAAGUGAUCACUGUGAGGGUUUCCUGGGAUUUGAUGUAAAUCAUAGGAAUUGAAUAUUAAUUAAAUAACUCUGAACAAGUAGGUCUAAUCAGAGUAUAACAGCUCAUGACUUUCAUUUUUUUUCUGUGUAAAAUGGAAAUAUUACUACCUUGUUUAUGUGGCGAGUAGCCCAUAGUGCUUUGACCCCAGAGAGGAGGGUUCCCCAUAUCUAUGCAUGCCUGUGGUUUGGUAGGAGGGGUCACCCCCAGAUGAGUGGUUGGGGACUCAUAUCUGCAGUAUCUAGCAGGGCUUUAGAGGCUUGGAUCUCAUGAUGGUUUCUGUUUCCUGAGCUUUAUCUGGUCAGUUUCAACCGUCCUGCAUGAGGAUGCAGAGGAGGACAGUGGUGGCUGAGUUCUUGCCUUGAAACAAUGAGAGGGACUUGCUCUGGCUCCUGGUUUGAUCUGUGUCUUGCCAAAUUGUCUGGUUUCUCCUCUCAGCCUGGAUCUUCUAAUACCACCCAGGAAAUACUAAUGCCAGUAACAUCCACCACUCUGUUAGGCAUAUGGCAGCUCAGGGACUGAUAUGGAAACACCGUCUUUCUGUCAUUCACACCCACUUGUUACAGCUUCUGCAAAGGUUGUCACUUUAGAGGAGAGAUGGGAGAGGUUUCUAUUAAAAGAAGAAAAAAGAAGAAGAAGAAGAAACUACAACCAUCAGGCUCACUAGAGAAAAACCCCCUGACUUACCAUGUGAACGGCUACCAUGGCCUCAGGUGUGCAGUGAGCAUAGAGGACAGUGAUGAGUGUGACAGAAGUCUCCAACCAGGAGAACAGGCCUGUCGUCAGGUGAGCCCAGUGUGACAGAAGCUGGGGCAGAGGUGGUGAUGGGCAAGAAGGAGUAAGGAGGGAUUAUUUACUUUUCCUAAUUUUAAAAAAUAUUAAGCUUUUAUAGACUAUAUUUGAACAUUUUGGUAGCUACAAAAAAGAUAAAUAAAAGUUUUCACUACCUUCUUCACAUUAACUCAGUUUCUCUCUGUUCUUAAACUUCGUUCAAGUUUGAAAAUUGAAUGCAAUGUGUGUCGAUUCUUAUUUCUUAACAGUGACUCUGCAUUGAGGAGAGAGGGUAGAGUGGGCCGAAUAAAGCGCAGGGCGCUGGACAGCAAACUGCAGACUAGGGCGCCCCAAGCCCGCACUCCCCCAUGGUGAAGUCAGCAAAGCAACCAGGGUCUGCCAGCGCAGAGGACCCGAGAAGCAGCAACAGUGAUCUCUUUUCUGCUCCCACCAUUGCCAGCCCUAGCAGGAGUCCAGAUUAGCUCCUGGGGUAUGUGUGUGCCUCUAUGUUUGUACGUGGGUGUGUGUGCAUGCGUGUGUGUGUGCGCGUGCGUUUGUGUGUACUUCGUAUUUCUUCCUGCCGCAUAAGUGAGCCUGGAUGCUUCAAGUAAGCAAUGGCCAUGCCAUGCAAACAGCACAGUGAAAAGGGUAGUGUCUUUGGGAGUUGAGUGUGCACACAGAGUUUGUAUAAUGGGUCCAGGUGCAAACUUCCGGUUGUUUCUGUGGUUCAUACCUGUUUUGUGAGGGGAAUGGUCUUCCCUUGGGAUAUUAGCUCAAAGCUUAUGGAGAGAAGGACUACACAGGUGUAUGUUAGAGCCAGCAGCUCCGGGCAUGGAGGAUUGGGCAAACCAAGUGAACUGCUCGAGGCUCCUGAUGUGAAGGAAGAGACUGUGUACAUAGGGACCCCAGGCCUGCAGAGUCAGAGUUCUGAUUGCCUGCAGGGACUCUGGGUGUUAGUGGAGCAGAGAGGUGCAGGGGCUGAGAUGCCAGCUGCCUUCCCAAGACUAGAGCAGGAGGGAGCAGAGAAGCACGUAGUGUGGCCCAUCUUUGUUUCUGGCGCGUCUUUCUGUCCAGACACCAGGCUACAGGGAAGACUUGAUUCUUGCUCUUUAAAACCGCUUUAGCUAUUCUAUUUUUCCAUUCAUUUUUUAAAAAGGUAUAUAUAUACAUAUACCACUGGAAGUGCUAAAACUUUGUUUUCAUUUGACAGUUUGCCAUCGACAUCUUUCCAAGUCAAUAUCUAUGGAUCUAACUCAUUUAAAUAACAGCAAUAAACCAAAAAGCAAAUUGAUAGUCUUGUGUUAUGUGAAUGCAUUGAAAAUUUACUUAACUGGUCCCUUGCCGUGUUUUCUAAAUAUUCUGUUAUUACGUAAUGCUGAUGUCAACAUUCUUAAUAUACAUGUAGUUGCACAAAUGUUCUCACACACCCAUUUCUUGUCAUCUGGCUUUGCUUGGUAAAGACUAAAAGACCAAUUACAUAGUCAAGUUUUCAGUCAUUUCCUUCCUGGCUUCUGAACCUUGUAUUUUUGUACUUUAGUAACAUCUCAACUCUGAAACUACAGAAUAAGAUGUCUUCCGUGCUUUCUUGCUUUCUGUUUUACUUUCACUGUUUCAGCUCACAGUUCACACAGCCCAGCCCCCUGCAGAAUCUCCCUUGCUCAUCUUGGCUGCGGCCCUGCAGUCUCGAGGGGAGGGCCUCUCCGCCGCGGCCUCCCGCUCUCCGCCCGCCCUCGUCUGCCGCCUGGGCCGCUCCGCGACGCCGCGUCGCGCUGUCCCGAGCGGGGAGCCCCCUCCGAGGCAGAGGCCCCGGGCGAGCUCGGGCGUUAGGGCGGUCGGGGCCGCUGAGGCCUGCCGGCGACUCGUCCCGGGGACACUCGAAGCGGUUGUCGGGCGCCCCUGGCGGCCGCUUUCAGAGCGUUCCUUUCCUUCGGCGACCUUCAUAAGGGCUGCGACUCAGCCAGCGAAAGCGAGGCGGAGCUCCAGAGGCCGGCAGCACUGGCGGCGAUAACCCCGGUGCUUCGGAGACCUGGGCACGCCUGCUCCUGUUGAAGAUUGAUUCUGCAGGAAUUCGUGAGUUGGCUUGGCGCUGCGGCGGGAUGAGGUGGCUGGCGCUUGGGGUCGACCAGCAUCUCCCCUCGUCCUUCUAUCCGCGGGGCCUUGGAGCAAGCAGGGGAGAGUCUUCGCACCGUAGUUCCUAUGGCUCGUCGGGCAGGCUCCUGGGUCACCGUUAGGGGCAUUCGUUUCCCAUCCUCGGUACCCCGCUCCAGGCUCUAGAGCUUGGCCAGACCGGCCGUGUCCGUGCUUGGAGGGCUCGUUGGCGGGGGCGCCUGGGCCCCGUCUCCAACUCUGGACGCGUCAUGCUCCCGCUGGACCUGAACGGUGAGGCUUGCGUGGCGAGUACGGCCGUGUCUCUACAAGCUGUACGGCGAUCCGAACGUUUUCUCCGCCCGCGGGGACGCCUGGGUUACCGCUUGCGUCCAGGAGAGUGAUGGUGCCCGGAGCAGUGUCCUGGGGCCCCACUUUCCGGUUUUCACGCCUCGGCUGGGAAUGGCCGCGUGUCUCUGUAGGCGGACGGCGCAAGGUUCACGCCGGCCAUCCCUGGAUCCCGGGCGUCCCCACACGGAGUGGGGCCUGGCCGGACACGCGGAAAAGCGUCGCUGGGCUGCGCGCCGGGCCCUCCCCGCGGCACCGAGAUCCCCGUGCUUGGAUCUCCCGGCCCCACGUCCUCGCCGACUGGUGGCCAAGAUCCGCACCAGGGCCGGGCGGCGGGGGAGCUGCUCCCCGACGGCAGCUGUCGUAUCACCAAGCUCUGCGAUCGUCCGAGGCCGGGCUGCGUCUUCGCGGGGAACGCCUGUAGUUUCUUUUGUUCACCUUGCGAGCUCGGCGUUUGUGUGGACCACACACGUGUCCCUCGCCGCGGGUGACAACAGGGAACAAGGCGGGCGAGCAAGGAGGUCGCCCAAUGCGCGGCUCUAGUCCUGCCCGGGCACGGUGGUCAGAGCCGCCAAAUAUUUGAGACCCGGAAAGUGGCCGGGGCCGUCCGGUGAGGUUACAAGGAGACGCGAGCCUGGCGCGGUCUUCAGUCCUGGGAGAGCCUCUCAACAUGCGUGGACGGGAGAACGCUUAGGGGAGAGAAAUGAAACCUCCGGCGAACUCGGAGGAAACGAGUGCGGAAUGGUGGUGCUGUGCCUUCUCCGCCCUGCGAUUCGGGAAGGGGAACCCUUUCCAGGGCCCUAGAGUGGGCUCACACGUGCUGACACAAAGCAAGAGACUUGAUUGGGAAGGGCACCCAGGAGGACAGCAGCAGGGUGAGGAAGCCCAGGGGACUUCUCUGCCACGAGACCUGCAGUCUCAGGUUUUAUGGCCAUGGGGUUGGUUUCCAGGUUGCCUCUGGCCAAGCAUUCUGACUGAAGGUUCAUUUCAUGUGUUUUGUUCAGCUUUCUAAUUACCAGUAGUAGGUGAGGAAGUCCAGACACUCCUUCUUGUAUUUAGAAGCAGAAAUCACAUUUCAAGAGAAAAAUAUACUUUUCAAUCAAUAAUUUAAAAUUGCCUAACCACACAGGCUUGAAGGUGUCUUUUGUUUCAUAUUCUUUGUUUUGCUCAUGAACAUGUUAAAAUAAAAUGAAAUAUCAGGAGACAAGCUUAGAUGGCUCUUUCCUCCCCAGAAGAACUUUAUGCCAAUAAAUCCUGGGUAAGGUCUUAGGAGUCUCUGAGUUUGAAUCCUUAAGGUAUAUCAAGUCACUGAGGCAAUUUUUGCUCCUGUUUUCAUAAGAUCUGUUGGUCUAAUAAGUCACACUAAAUUUUCCCACGGUUUAUAUUGUGGAGAAUUUUUUUCACCUGAAUCCCAGUGUCCAUCUUCUUUUUCAGUCACUAGCAGUUCAUUCUGCUCUAAAGUGUGCAGUUCACUAUCUCUGGAUUGGCUUGAGGUGACCACUUGUGGGACACUUGGUAGCUCACUUCUCAUUUCUAAUCCAUGAAUUUGAAUUAAAGGGACCUUUAAAGCUCUUGUAUUCAUUACUCAAUAAAUACUUAUCAACUGAGAAUUGUAAUCACUGGAGGCACAUUAAUAAAUGAACAGAUAGGGACCCUGA